GUAGUAUAGUGGUUAGUAUUUUAGUUAUACACUUAACUAAAGACUUAGGUUCGAUUCCUAAUAAUCU